rnacentral:rRNA from 1 species
GACAGAGGAGGCAAGCGUUAUCCGGAAUUAUUGGGCGUAAAGCGUUCGUAGGUGGCCAGUCAAGUCUGAGGUUAAAGACCGGAGCCCAACUCCGGGAGAGCCUUGGAAACUGGGUGGCUAGAGGGUGGUAGAGGUAGCGGGAAUUCCCGGUGUAGCGGUGAAAUGCGUAGAUAUCGGGAAGAACACCAGCGGCGAAAGCGCGCUACUGGGCCAUUACUGACACUGAGGGACGAAAGCCACGGGAGCGAAUGGG